UCAUUUCAGGCUUCUUUAACCUGAAACCAAUUAUCUUUAACAUAUAUUGAAAAGUUUUUUUUGUUUUAAUUUUAAAGACAAUUUUCCUCUUCACAAUUCGUUCAUUUAAAAAAAAACAGAAUGACAAAACUAAUAUAAUAAUUUAAAAAAUAUAUAAUUUUGUUAAUAUUUUUAAAAACUCAUUAAAAAUGAAUAGAAAUUUUAAAGAUAAAGCAAUGAUACUAGUCUAAAAAACCCAAAAAUAAUUUCAAAUAUUCAUUAUCUUAAGACUAGUAAGUAAUAAACGGUUUUAUCGAAAUUUUAAAGAUAAUUAUUUAAUUUUUUAGGCUACUUUAAACAACCUAAUCUUUAUUCCUUUAUUGCCAUAUACGGACCAUAGAACAGCUCAAUAAUACUGAGCAAUAAGAUCUGAACUCAAGUUAUAUUAAUUCAAAUAUCAAAAAAAACUAAAUAAAAUGGCCAUAGAUACUUAAAAUACGUAUUUUUAGCGGAUCCUAAUAGCCCGGAUUGUUCGGUUAAGUGUACUCCUCUCAUAUUGAGAAUCUGCUAUACAUACACUAUAAGCAGAUUGAAUCAAGAAAAUUUGCUCAAAAAAAAAAUUUUAGUAUUUUACCUCUAAAAAGUAUUAACAAUGAACUUAGUGUAUUUAUUAUUAAAGAUAUUAUAUUUUAGUGAAGAACGGUACUAAGGACAUAACCUAUCAGAUAUUCCUAUAUAGCAAUUUGUAAAUAAUUUUAAAGAUAAUCUCUUUAAAACCCGAUCCGGGCUCUUAGAAGUGAAGAAGAAUUUUUUACUCAAGAAAGGUGCCACCCCCCUCCAAAGGCUUGGUACCACUUUACUCUGUGUUGUGAUCUUUUUAAAGUCUAUUACUAUGAAUCUAUAUCUAUAUUAAUACUUACAAGAUAUUUGUAUAUGUUAUUAUUAUUAUUAUUAUAUUAUUAUUAAUUGUACGUAUGAUAUUAGAGUAUUUUAUAUUAUAGAGGCCUACGUUAUCGACCACGAGUAAAUGGGCUCAUCGACCUUUGACAAUCUGUGUGUGUGUUUUCUUAUAAUAUAAAGGUGACCAUCCUUUUUGUUUGUAGUUAAAUGUAUAGCGGCUAAAUGUGUGAGAAAACCCCGCAGUACCACCCUCCUACGUGUACCUUUCGCAGUACUGCAAAUACCAAAAUAUUACAGGAUAAUUAUUAUUAAUUUUAAAAAAAUAAUUAAACGCAAUAAACUAGAAAACAAUCAGAGAGACUGUACUGAAAACGUGUGCCAAACAAAUUGAGUAUUUGCAGGACUUGGAUCUUUCAGCAGUGUUUUGUGAGAUAACUAAUGGGUUGUACUAUAUGUCUCUAGGUUUUAAUGGUCGAACCUCCUGAGGUUCUUGAUUGCGUUUAUGUCACUUGAACUGUCAACUGUCAGACAAAUGAGACUCCUGUUGUUAACCUUCUUGCUUGAACUGUCAGUUGUCAUUUAUUUGAAUUGUUAAAGUCAUUCUGAUGUGACGUAAAAUACGUCAUACGUCAAUGACGUGUGCCAUGGGAAACCCUGGUUUAACGUCAAAAAUGACAAAAUUUCUCAAACUCUUCAUUUAAUUAAAAUUUGUUAAAAAUUGAGGCAAAUCUGGGGAAUUUUCAACGAUCAACUUGGUAACCUUGGACCUGCUUAUAUUGGCGAACUGUCAAAUGUCAAUUCGCAUCCUGAAUACAUUACCUCUAUACAAUUUUAUACUUCAUGGUAUUAAUAAGGUAGCCAAUGUCCUUUGAUCUGUUUGAAAGUUGUGUGCAGUGACAUUUUGCCCAUAGUAGGCAAUUGACCCUCCUGUAAUUCACCUUCUUGCUUGAGGUGUCAGUUGUCAUUUGAAUCGUAAAGGUCAUUCCGAUAUGACGUAAUAUAGGAUGACGUUAGUGUCAUAAAAAACCCUGGUUUAAUGUCAAAAAUGACAACAUUUCUUUAAGGAAAAAAAUCCUGAUUGUAGUGGCGAACUGUCAAAUGUCAAUUCGCAUCCUGAAUACAUUACUCUAUACAAUUUUAUACUUCAUGGUAUUAUUAAGUUAGCCAAUGUCCUUUGAUCUGUUCGAAAGUUGUGUGCAGUGACAUUUUCCCCAUAGUAGGCAGUUGACCCUCCUGUAAUUCACCUUCUUGCUUGAACUGUCAGUUGUCAUUUAUUUGAAACGUAAAAGUCAUUCUGAUGUGACAUAACAUAGAGGAUGACGUUAGUGUCAUAGGAAACCCUGGUUUAAUGUCUACAUUUCUUUAAGGAAAAAAAUCCUGAUUGUAGUGGCGAACUGUCAAAUGUCAAUCCGCAUCCUGAACACAUUAACUCUAUACAAUUUUAUACUUCAUGGUAUUAAGUUAGCCAAUGUCCUUUGAUCUGUUCGAAAGUUGUGUGCAGUGACAUUUUGCCCAUAGUAGGCAGUUGACCCUCCUGUAAUUCACCUUCUUGCUUGAGGUGUCAGUUGUCAUUAGAAUCCUAAAUGUCAUUUCACUUUAACAUAUCAUCAGAUGACGCUUGUGUCGUAGAAAAUCCUUGUUCUCUGUCAAGAUUGUCAAAAUCUGUUGUUUUAAUAUUUUCCCUAAAUUUUGUGCAGUGACUUACAGGUUCUAUUGAUCAGGUUUAACGUAAAAAUACGAAAAUCUCUCUGCAUUUACUUAUUAAAUUUGUUGAAAAUUGCGAGAAAUCUGGGAAAUUUUGCUACGAUUAAUCUGGCAACCUUGGAUCAGUAUACCUUGAAGAACUGUCAAAUGUCACUUGAAUAAGUUAUGUGCAGUGACAUUUUGCCUAUAGGCAGUUGACCUUCCUGUGAUUGGCCUUCUUGCUUACGUCAUUGCACUUGAAUUGUCAUUUAAAUCUUAAAUGUCAUUUUAAUUUUGCUUGUGUUAUAGCUUCCCUGUCAAGUUUAACGUCAAGAUUGUCAAAAUUUCUGGUUUUAAUAUUUCCCCUGAGUUUUGUGCAGUGACUUACAAGUUCUAUCUAUUAGAUUUAACGUAAAAAUGCCAAAAUCUCUCUGCAUUUACUUAUAAAAAAAUUAAAUUUCUUGAUAAUUGCGACAAAUCUGGGAAAUUUUGUUACGAUCAAUCUGGCAACACUGGGUCAGUAUACCUUGAAGAACUGUCAAAUGUCACUUGAAUCAGUUAUGCGCAGUGACAUUUUGCCCAUAGACAUUCGACCUUCCUGUGAUUUACCUUCUUGCUUGCGUCAUUGCACUUGAGUUGUCAUUUGAAUCCUAAAUGUCAUUUUAAGUUGACGUAUGAAGAUAAUAUUUGUGUCAUGCAAAAAGACUGGAUAGAAGGAGACUGAUCUCCGUGGUUCGCAACGUAGCCACCUCGGCGCUGUUGAUUUUAUCCUUAUAAUUAAUUUUACUGUUUCGCAAAGAAUAAUACAAUCGUUAUUUAACUAGUUAUCGUUACUCUAUACAAUUUUAUACUCCAUAGUACUAUUAACUUAGUCAAUGUCAUUUCAUUUGUUCGAAAAGUUGUGUACAGUGAUAUUAUGUUUAUAGACAGCAGAGCCUCCUGUGAUUCACCUUCUUGCUUAUGUCACUGUCAGUUAUCAAUUGAGUGUUAACUGUCAUUAAUUUUUUGGCCUACGUAACGUCAAAAAUGGCAAAUUUCUUGUUUCCAGGGUUUUUCCUAAAUACUUUAGGCAUUUAGCAUUCCCAUCAUUUCAAAUUAACCUAGAAGAUCCUCCUGAGUUUCUUCUUCUUUCUCUUCUUUAGUGUUAGCAACGUCACUUGAACUGUCAGUUGUCAAUUGAGUUUCAAAUGCCAUUCGGUGACGUUUGACAUAUGAAUAACGAAUCAUGUUAGCCUUUGAGUUUAGUUGAGUUUAGUAUAAUUUAACAGUCAGUUCUAGGCACAAUUACAUUUUUAUUCUAAUCAUAUUUUUACCCAAAACGUAAUUUUAUGAAUGAGAACUGUACUGUGGUCCUUCGAGCCGAACUGCAGCUUCAAAGAAAAUUUGCAGAAAAUCCAAUUAAUUCCCUUUAAUUUAAAUUCCGUGUUUAUCUUAUGGAAUUUUGAUCUAAAAUUUAAUUUUAUAAAUAAAAAUUAUACCGUUAUUACAGUUUCACAUCAUGACGCAAUAAUUUGUGUUUCCUCGCAAUUAAUUCUGUUGUUCUCAUCGAAUUUUUACAUAAAAUGAGAAUUUAUGUAUAAGAACUAUACAGUGGUCCUUCGAGCCAGAUUGGCUUCUAAAUUACGUCCUUUACAUUAGUUCAAAUAAGCCAGAUGAAGCCUCCUGAAUUUAUUCUUCUUCCUCUUCUUCGUGCUUGUCAAUGUCACUUGAACUGUCAAUUGUCAAUUGAGUUUCAAGUUGCAUAGUGUUGCCAGUGCGUUUUUUAGGUUAAGUAAUAUAUAAUUUAAUACUUUCCUUACUCUACAAUUCAGGGUUGCCACUUGCGAUUCUAAAUUAUUCUAUAUUAACUUAAAAUAUAUUUUUCGUUCUUUUUUUUUUUAUUCUAUCAAGAUUCUAUCAACUCCCAAUUCUCCAAAAUAAUUAUUGAAAAAAUCCCAGUUGUACCAAUGUUUAAUAAAAAUCCAUGGUAUUACACAGUCAAUGUUACUUGAACUGUCAGUUUUUAACAGUUGACAUUCAAAUGUCUCUCUACCUGUCAGCUGUCAGUUAAGUGUCAACGAUGCGCUGUUGCCACAUCAAACACAUUAGUUAUCUCACUCUAAAUUGGAUGUUGCUUGUCCCUGAUUACUCCGAGAUAACCGUAGGCCGCCCAGACUGAGCCAAACGAUAGUAGUCAUAGGUUAUCAGGUGCUCAGACCUAUCAAUUAAAUAAAAUAAUUAAAAUUAUUGUUGUUAUUCGAUGUACCUCUCAUCAGAACUGACGGUCAUUUUGUUGUUCGUAUUACGUCAUUAUGGUAUUUUUAGAUACUCAUCUAUGCCCCUACGCCCUUUUCUCCCUAGCUGCCAGGAGAAAUAUCGAUACCGGCCCCUUUCGUCCAGUAUCGAUAUUUUUCAUUAAACAAAUGAAAGUAUUUUUCAGAGAUUCAUAUCAAAAGAUUCAUAUACAAUGAAUAAAGUUACUAUGUAAGACACUCGCGUGUUCGUCCAGUUCCGUACAAUGAACAGAAAUUUUAAAAACAAAAAGAAAUUUAAAUGUAUAUAAAAUAAAAUCAUGUAUCGCUUUAUAUACAGUACCUCCUAUAUUAUAUAUUUAUUAUUUAUGUUAUUUAUGGAGUUUUUCAGUUUUUCAUUAUAUAAAAGGUUUCUAAACGGCCUAACGUCUUAUCUAAUCGAAAAAAACGAGUUGUUUAGUAUAAAUGUGAUAACAUUAUAGUGUAUGAAAUGUCCGUCAGGUUCUUUUUAUUUUAUUUAUUUAUUUCGUUCGGUAUAUUAUGGGUUUUAGUAUGUGACUUGGCACUGUAUAAUUUUUAAAAACGAUAGGUACACCCCUUACUACUAAACUAGGCAACACGUUUAACACGAUUUAGAGGUUAAAAAAUGAAGAGGUAGGCAACCCGUUUUUAGGCAGUACCUGAUCACAUUUAGCAUAAUUUACAGACGACUGGCACUAUACGAUAGUAACUUAAUCAGAAUCGGACCUUCUAGGCAACAUUGUACUUUUUUUAUAUGACAUUUGGCAACGUUUUAUGAAGUUCUUUACAGCUUACGUAAAUGUGGCAACGUUGUAACGGUAACAAACAAAAGUUUCCCAGAGUUCUCCCAAUAAACUCGAGAAAAUUGAUUCAAAGAAUUCUUUGCAGAUGACAUCGCUAUAUUCAUUGGAUUCUCUUCCAAUGAGUGUUCCAGAAUUGUCCCUACAAAUUCAAGGAAAUUUAUUUUACGUUUUCCUGGAAGACCUUGUAAAAAAAAUUAUUUGCAGAUGACAGCACUAUAUUCACACAAUUGUGUCAUACAAUGUUACCAGAUUGAAUUAUUCUUAUUAGACUAGUUAAAUUGGGUAAAAUAUCGACAAUAUCUUAAAAGAAAAUUGAAAUUAAAUAAAUAUGGCAACGUAGUAAAACAAUUGUCAAAAGUCACGGAAUCUCGGUUAUAAUUCGUCAGAAACGGCUAAAUCUAGUCCCCCAUUCCAAUGUUGCCUUUUUCAGCCGAACUCUUGAUAAAUGGCAAUGUCAAAAUGUGUAUAUAAAUUUAACCGAAAAUCGCUUUUCAAUCUUCAUCAUUCGUUGCCUACAGCGUUGCUACAUUGAAAGUUUCUUAUUUUCUCUCAAAUAAAUGCUUAAUUUAAGUUGACUUAUAAGUAAUUAUUAAGUUCCUAAAAGAAAAUACAACUGGCAACAUUGUAUACUAGUUUGAAAACUGAUUAUCUACUGCACUAAAGGCUAAAUUACACACUUAUUCCAAGGUUGCCAGAGUUGAGCAACAAAUCAGUGCGUGCCUAUUAUUCUAUAGUGCUAAUGGUCUGUAAAGUAUGUGGUACUAUUACAUAAGAAACAUAAUUCUUACAGGAAAUUCAAGGCGUUAAUGAGUAGUGAAAUCUAGUCGAAACUCAAAAAGUUGACUUUUUACGAAUUUUUAGGCUUUUUACGUUAAAACAUUUCUUUAUCAUUUAGAGCAAGUGGCAACCAUGUAUAACAAAUUUCAAAAGCCUGUAAUCAGCAUCUAAAUUAAUAACAAACCGUACUUAUUGUUUUUAAACCUGUGGUUCCUUUUAAUGAUUCUCUACUGGCAACAUUGGACUAGGUAUGAAGCUUAGCCGCUAAUGACGUUAUAGUAGUGAGGGAUAAACCUAUCGAUAGGUAAGAACUAAUGUGCCAACCGGCAACAGCGCGGUGUCACGUGACAUACGUUACUUAGUAAAUUCGUUGCUUUGUAUAUUUGUAAAUAGGCUAAUAUUAAAUGUUCUUGUUAAACGUUUAGUGAAAUCAUCAUAUUUGACGAAAAAAAGGGAAAAGAGAGUUCAUUGUUUUCAGCUUUUUUUUCUUACGUUGUUGCCAUACCGCUGCCAAAUCUGAAAACUUGCUAAAAAAAAAAAGGGAACGGUGGUGAAGAGAAUUGAUGAAAAACGCGUGAUUCGAAAGUAAGGAACGAUACGAAUAUUGAAGCCGAUUAUUUUUCGCAUAACAAUGAACAAAUUAUAAUUUAUCAAGAUGCCUAAAACGUUAAGACCGUUACCCACCUGUACCUGAACGUUUAAAAAACCAUUUUUGUUUUCUGUCUUUUGUUUUUUUUUUAAUUAAGGUUAGGUAAUCUAAUUUCGUUAAAGUCUAUUUUCCUCGAGUGACGAGAUGAAACUGUUAUUUAGUAAAAUAGGAGAUAUCGUGGUUUUAUCUAGGAAACACUAUUCGUGGAAUAAAUGUCUCAAUAAUAAGGAAAUGUGCUCAUUUUAUAUCAAACAAAAAAAAAGUAAUAUUAUGAUACUUAAUCUUUCAAAUAAAUGUCAAUAUAUUAAAUAUGUGAACGUAGCUCAACUUUCCUGUUUCGUUAUCGUGUUUCUUUUGUUGUUUUUUUUUUUAUAAUAAAAUUCUCACGUACUUUAGGCUAUUGAAUAUGUCACAAAAAUGGCGACAAAUGUUCAAUAGAAGUGAGGUUAUGGUCGAUCCAGUUUUUUCAUUUUCACGCGAAAACUAUGCACUUUUUGUAGAUAUUGAGAUUUCCUUUUGAAAACUACCUUUAGAGUUACAAAAAGUUAAUUUUUUAUUAAAUUAUUAUUAAGGCCAUAGGUCAAAUUUUAUUUUAAAAAUAUCCUUUUAUUCCUUUCGUGGACUUAACCUCAAAAACGCAGUAAGUACAUACUCAAUAGCCUACUUGUACGACUAAUAAAAAGACAUGUUAAGCUAUUAUGUGUGUUCAAUUUCCGAAAAUUAAAUAUUGCAUUUACAAUGAACAGAACUUGCAUUUCUAUAUUGGUGGAGCCUCUAAAUUAAAAAUUCAUUAUAAAUGCAAUAAAAUGUUAAUUACUCCUUAGACUCGUUGUUUUUAACUUAUUAUAUAUAUAUAGUGGUUGUUUUCGAUUUCUGUUAAAUAGGUAAUUAUAUUUUCGUUGACCUGCUCA